CUUAUUAAAGGUACGCAGGAGGGGGAGACAAGCAAUAAAUGAGGGGUAUAGGUUGUCCAGCCCAUCUUUUAGCAAGUUUUAGCAACCAAAAACUUGCUAAAGUGCUAAACUUUAGCAACUCAACUUUAGCAAGUUUUAGCAAGGGUGUUUGGCAGUUUAGCAGCUAAAAGUUGCUAAACUUUAGCAACUAAAGUUUAGCAAGGUGGAACCAAACACCCCC
rnacentral:lncRNA from 1 species